GCAGUCGGUGUUAUUGUGACUCCCGGGCCGUGGCCCCGGAUGUUGUGGCUGCUGAAGGGGAGAUGGAGGAGGCUGAAGGGGUGGCCGCGGCCCCGGGUCCAGCUUCGGGGUUGGCUUUCAGGGGCCGCCGAGCUAUGUCCGGCUCCUGGGAGCGCGACCAGCAGGUUGAGGCGGCGCAGCGGACCCUGGUGGAGGUGCUGGGCCCUUACGAGCCUCUGCUGAGCCGGGUGCAGGCAGCCCUGGUGUGGGAGCGGCCGGCCAGGAGCGCCCUGUGGUGCCUGGGGCUGAACGCGGCGUUCUGAUGAGUGACCCACAGGGAGACCAUGAAAGUCGGCAGGAGGGCAUCAUGGCAGGACCAGAAAAGGACAGGUUCCAGGAACUUCGAUUGGACUGAUAGGAGAUGGGGGAGCACGAGGGUUUUUUGCAUUGACAUCACUUCGUUUUGUGUUUUUGCUUGCAUUCAGCUUGAUGAUCAUUGUCUGUAUUGACCAAUGGAAGAACAAAAUUUGGCCUGAGAUAAACGUGCCGAGACCUGACGCCUUGGACAACGAGAGCUGGGGCUUUGUGCACCCUCGGUUGCUCAGCGUGCCCGAGCUCUGCCACCAUGUAGCUGAAGUCUGGGUUAGUGGGACCAUUUUCAUAAGGAAUCUUUUGCUUUUCAAAAAGCAAAACCCAGGCAAGUUCUGCCUGCUGAGCUGUGGGGUACUGACCUUUUUGGCCAUGUUGGGCCGCUACAUCCCUGGGCUCCUGCUGUCCUACUUGAUGCUUGUCAUCAUUAUGAUGUGGCCUCUUGCUGUCUAUCACCGUCUGUGGGAUCGAGCCUAUGUGCGACUGAAGCCAGUUCUGCAGCGGCUGGACUUCAGUGUCCGUGGCUACAUGAUGUCCAAGCAGAGAGAAAGACAAUUUUGGGUGUUUGAUUAAGCACUGGCCUUCAAAGAAUCACGAAUGUGGUCACCAAGCCCAGCUUCAUCUGGGCCAACUAGUUGAAAAGUAUCAGUCCUUAAAAGCCUCAUUUCCCCAAGUGCGCCGCAGAGCUCUGCACUCAGAACGUGCCACGGACAGCCACAGUGACAGUGAAGAGGAACUUGCUGCCUUCUGUCCUCAGCUGGAUGAUUCUACUGUUGCCAGGGAAUUGGCUAUCACAGAUUCGGAGCACUCUGAUGCUGAGGUCUCCUGUACAGAAAAUGGCACAUUUAACCUGUCAAGAGGCCAAACACCUCUAACAGAAGGCUCUGAAGACCUAGAUGGCCACAGUGAUCCAGAGGAGUCAUUUGCCAGAGACCUGCCAGACUUCCCUUCCAUUAACGUGGAUCCUGCUGGCCUGGACGACGAGGACGACACCAGCAUUGGGAUGCCCAGCUUGAUGUACCGCUCCCCACCAGGGGCUGGGGAUACCCAGGUCCUGCCUGCUAGUCGGAAUGAGGCUGCACUGCCAGAGCUCCUGCUUAGUUCCCUUCCUGGAGGAUCUAACCUUACCAGCAACCUUGCCAGCCUGGUCUCCCAGGGUAUGAUCCAACUGGCCUUGUCAGAGGCCUCCCAGACAGACCCUUCUGGCCCACCUCCCCGAAGAGCAACAAGAGGCUUCCUCCGGGCCCCUAGUUCAGACCUGGACACUGAUGCUGAAGGAGAUGAUUUUGAACUUCUGGACCAAUCAGAGCUGAAUCAGCUAGACCCUGCCAGUUCUAGGAGCCACUGAGAGACUCCUUUGAGGGGGGUCACUGUGCUGUAGGUUAUUUUCCUCCACCCCACUUACUGUGAUGGGGCAAGGGAAGAACCCAGUCUUGUCCCCUGAAUUUUAUCUGUGUGCUGGGUGGCCUGGCUGAUGCAGAGGCCUGCUAAGAGAACGUACUCUUACCUGCUGCCAGUGAGACAUCGUAUCUGUGCUUAGUCACUGAAGUGAGAACAUACUCCCGCCCCAAGGGAGGCUUCUCUCCAUCAGGGUGGUACACGGGCAACAAAGUAGGGAUUUGAUUCCCCUUUGAGGAGGUAGUGCUGUUUGCUUUUAGGUCUGGGUGCUCAGGGGCCCUCACUGAUACAAGAGCCCAUCUCUUCUCCUCACCUCACUGGAGCCACAGAAGCCAGGCAGCAGCUACAGGAGUUAUCAUCUGUGUCUUUUACCAUGAUUUGAUUUGUGUUCUCAAAGCAAGUGUGCCCUUUGGUUCUGCAGAGCAGGCCCACUUCCUGUCCCUGAGCCCAUCUUCAUUUCUAGAGGGCUGACCCUGAGCACUCCAGAGUGCUUGCAGAGUUUGAGAAAUGUGAACAUGCUGUGGGGCUGAGCCUCUGCUAUAUCACCGUGAGCUGUAGGAUCAGCUGGCUGGCUGGGUUGGUGAGUGCCUACCUUGAGGUCUCAUGAAAGCUCCUGGAGCUGUGUGGUUGUCUUUGGUGCUGUUAACCCUUGGCUCCAUUUGACCAUCAAUCUGAGCAAUGAGCAAAGCAAUAUCAUAUCCAUGUUUAUGUCCCUCCUCCUUCCCUUGCUCCUCCUCUGGAGAAGCACUAAUUACACAGGGGAUAGCAAAGUAGCACUUUACAAAUGGCCAUGGCGUUCAUCCCAAGAGCCACCAGCUCUUCUUACCAUACCACUUCCUAACUCCUGUAAGGAUGAGCCCAGUUAGUAAGGAUGUUGGUAAUCAGCAGAGACCAUUCUCAAGGGUAGGUGUUCUGCAGCCCCGAAUCAAAUCAUGUGAAAACCCCUUAAAUGAUCAUUGGUUCUCAACCUGUGCCAGCAUACUGCCUCUCUGUCUCCCAAAUCAGAGCUCAAGCCAAAUUCUUCUAUCCUCUUUCCCUCUUGCAUUAACCUUUGCUGAUCCUCAGGGACCACUCCCCCAGCACUUUUGUGUUUGGGUGAGGGAUGUUGGACAGAGCCCAUUUUUAUGUGCUGCAGGUUGGGGGUUGUGCUAACACUUUUGCUCUUGGUUGAUGGACAAGAUAGAGGCCAGGGAGUGAAUAACAGUGAGAAGAGGAAUGGCAGGUGCCUGUUUCAUAGUCAGUGAGUGUGAAAGUUAGGCAUAAUAAUGGCAUCUCCCCACUUUAGGGUUCUCAAAUACUUUGGACAUCUCUUUCCUUAGAGCCAGGUAGAUGUCUUACAGGUGAACUCGAUGAUGUGGAAAAGAACAAAAAAAGGGAGGUGAGGGAAAGGCUUGGGGUUUUGCGUGUUUGCAUGAGUGUGUGUAGCUUCAUGCUUUGGGAGUUGGCAAGAGGAAGAGGGAGGGAAGGGGAGCAAGCAAAUCCAGGUCUUUUCUUGUACCAGUGGAACCUGCUCUGAAUCUCCCAAGUCCUCCACUGUGAAUUGGGCUGGGUGGGGGGGUGCAGGGGAAUAAAUCUUGUAUGAGAACAAUCUUUUAAGAGACUGCUGUUUCGUUGUGUACUUCCUUGAUAAGUCUUCUCAUUAAUCUGAUAAUAGCUAAUCUGGUGUGGUGAUCCUCAGAAGAGGAAGCCCAGGUGGAUGUCAGGGACCCUCCUGCCCUUUCUGUUUUUCCCUCUUGAGGCCACGUCUCCCCCCUACAACCAAGACAUAAAUAUAACUAAUACCUUGCGGGC